rnacentral:piRNA from 1 species
UAAACUACAACCAAAAAACUGGUGAAGCC